rnacentral:misc_RNA from 1 species
AUACAUAACACUCAAGAUCCUAUUGGCAUUGCCGCAUUGUUGCCAAAGCCAAAAUAGAUUGCAUUGGAUAACAAAAUCCCAAAGAGGCAGAACUGCUGGAAAUCUUUGAAGUAGUUCUCUAAUUGGUUCCAUCAAUAAAGCCUUAUAGGCAUAUAUUUAUGGACUCAAAUUUUAAUCCUAAAUCUUUUAAGACUUGGACUCCUAGUUUUUAUGGUACUUGUAAUCCUAAGAGGACUUCUAAUAACACUAAAUAUAGCAAAACUAAUGCAAUGCUGAGCACACAAUUAAUACGAGCUCUCACCAUCAUACAAGUCCACACAUGAAGAACCUUGACCUGCAGAUCAUAAAACUCAGAUCUAAAUUACCACACUUCCAAGGCCACCAUUAUUCACCAUGGAUGAU